GGGCCCGCACAAGCGGUGGAGCAUGUGGUUUAAUUCGAAGCAACGCGAAGAACCUUACCAGGUCUUGACAUCUUUUGAUCACCUGAGAGAUCAGGUUUCCCCUUCGGGGGCAAAAUGACAGGUGGUGCAUGGUUGUCGUCAGCUCGUGUCGUGAGAUGUUGGGUUAAGUCCCGCAACGAGCGCAACCCUUAUGACUAGUUGCCAGCAUUUAGUUGGGCACUCUAGUAAGACUGCCGGUGACAAACCGGAGGAAGGUGGGG
rnacentral:rRNA from 1 species